rnacentral:lncRNA from 1 species
CAUGGGGUUAUAUAGAACAAUAACAGUAGAAACAAGUAUUCUAUUCCUGCACCACUCGAAAUAAAUGAGGAAAUUACAAACAGUUCACUGCCUUUCCUUCAUGUAUGAAUGAUGUGUGAUGAGAACUCAGGUUAUUAGAUGGAUGGCUGCAAAAGAUGAUUUCUUUUUUAAAUGUGCAUGUCUGAUUUAAACAUUUAGUAUAAAAAUGCAUAAUGAAUCCUCAUUAGAUAUUGAUGUGGCUGUUUUCAGAUUUGAGUUUUUAUGGAUUUUAAGUCAAAAAUUUGGAAACAGCAAAAAUUAUUGAAAAUAUUUCAAAGCAUUGAAUUAUCAGUGUGAAUUGUUUUGUUGAGCACACUUUAAAACUUGAGGUAUCAUUUGCUGAAGAGAUAAAAGUAAGCAUCAAUGUUUUAUAUAAAACAUGUGUUUACAAAAGCACAUUAGCUUUUAUGUUAUUACUUUUAUUAUUUUUUCUCUGACAUAUUGUUAUUUGAUUUAUUGCUGUGAUAUUGUUAAGUUUUUGAUAUGCCCAACCGCACCAUUAUACCUAUACUUUCCUCAUUGUGGAAUGUAGUUUCUCCCUAAUGUAUUGCACAGUGGAACAAGUUUGAACUAGAACUUCCAGGCAUAGAUGGUUUUUAUCAUCAGUUCAUAAUUCUGUAUUCAGUUCAGUAUUUUUGUGAUUAACUUUUUUCUAUUCAUUGUAACUUGAGUAUCAUUUUUCAUUUCUUUUUUCUUUGUUUAGUGUUUUUAUUCCUGAAAUAAUUCUGAGCAGAAUGAAUGUAUGAUAUUUUAACCAUGAUGUAAUCAAAUGUGUCUAGUUCAAAAACAGUUUACUCUCACAUCAAAAAUUGAAUUAUCAGCAAAAUUUGCAAAGGUAACAUGAUUAUUUAAGAUCUGAAACCAUUUUUUGUGAAGGAUUCUGAAUUUUGGCAAAAGUAGUACAUGUAUCACAUUUUUUUUUUAUUAAAACAGUUGUUUCCUUUUUGAUAAUGCAGUCUAUCUUCGAAUACUUCAUCUUCACAGUAAACAACAUAUUUAUUCAUCUCUGUGUUAAAUAUUCAUUUAUUAAUUAAAAAUGGCUGUUGUACUUAAAUGACAAAUUAAGUGGCACUUUAGUUUGUGGAUUUUAAUUCAUUUUCAUGUUUUUGUAUGACAAUGUACAUUUUUGGGGAAAAUAUUUGGAUAUAAUCUUGUUCAAUAAAUGUUGUAUUAUUGAGAUAUAUAAAUUACUGUGUUAAGUAUAUAUUUUUCAUUAUAUCCCUUCAUGGUGAUUGUUGUUUUUGAAUAACUAAGUUUGCCAAAUAUUGCUGUGAUUUUGACUUCAGAUUCUGCUGUGAUUUAACAUUAUAUUUUUAUGAUAUGAUUAUGCCAAACUGUUUCUAUGAGAUUUCAAAUAAAUGUGUCAAAUUAUUAACUGCUGAGAAACUAAUUAUCUGAUGUGCAAUUUAUUUGUCUAGAUUUUGAUAUUUACAUGGAGGCUGAAAGUUUAGGCUAAUAUUUAGCUUCUAAGACAUUGUUUAUUAUUGUUUGUUUUAAUAAAGACAAAUGUGAGAAUUAGUCGUUUAUGGCUCAAAUAUUAGCACUACUGAUAUUAUUCCUGAUUUUAUGUAAAUAUAAGUAUCUGCUUAUCUCAAUUUAAGUUCUAAAGUUGUGUUGUAUAGUUUUAAGGUGUUUUAAUUAUUUGGAUAGAUAUAGGAAGAUGUUGCAUUGAUUUACUUCUAUAGUCUUAUGGUCAGUAUGCUUUUAAGUACUUUAAUGUA